rnacentral:rRNA from 1 species
UGGGGAAUAUUGGACAAUGGGCGCAAGCCUGAUCCAGCCAUGCCGCGUGAGUGAUGAAGGCCCUAGGGUUGUAAAGCUCUUUCACCGGUGAAGAUAAUGACGGUAACCGGAGAAGAAGCCCCGGCUAACUUCGUGCCAGCAGCCGCGGUAAUACGUAUGUUGCGAGCGUUAUCCGGAAUUAUUGGGCUUAAAGGGCAUCUAGGCGGUAAGACAAGUUGAAGGUGAAAACCUGUGGCUCAACCAUAGGCUUGCCUACAAAACUGUUGAACUAGAGUACUGGAAAGGUGGGUGGAACUACACGAGUAGAGGUGAAAUUCGUAGAUAUGUGUAGGAAUGCCGAUGAUGAAGAUAACUCACUGGACAGAAACUGACGCUGAAGUGCGAAAGCUAGGGGAGCAAACAGG